AGUGGCAGACGGGUGAGUAACGCGUGGGAAUCUACCGUGCCCUGCGGAAUAGCUCCGGGAAACUGGAAUUAAUACCGCAUACGCCCUACGGGGGAAAGAUUUAUCGGGGUAUGAUGAGCCCGCGUUGGAUUAGCUAGUUGGUGGGGUAAAGGCCUACCAAGGCGACGAUCCAUAGCUGGUCUGAGAGGAUGAUCAGCCACAUUGGGACUGAGACACGGCCCAAACUCCUACGGGAGGCAGCAGUGGGGAAUAUUGGACAAUGGGCGCAAGCCUGAUCCAGCCAUGCCGCGUGAGUGAUGAAGGCCUUAGGGUUGUAAAGCUCUUUCACCGGAGAAGAUAAUGACGGUAUCCGGAGAAGAAGCCCCGGCUAACUUCGUGCCA
rnacentral:rRNA from 1 species